AUCUACAACAUUGUUUUAAUGGAGCUCAUAUUCCCACCUCGUGUUCAUGCCAAGGAUACUGGAAGUACCCAGCACAGUUCAGAAGUGCUCAGCAAACUGUAGUGCUUAGUCACUGGUUUCACUGGUGACCAGAAGAAAAAUUAUGACGUGGAAACAGGCUAAAUUGACAGAAAAGCUCUGAUAUAUCCAGUGGAAUGGUCAGAAAUUCACAGAAAAGAGGGAAACUUAAAAGCCUUGUCUGCUGGAGUCAGCUGGGAACAAGAUUUGACCCAAGAUGUUUAAACCAGAAGGAUGAUUUCAAACAGAAAGGUGACAUGGUUGUGUUGACAAUGAUAUUUGAGUGGAUUUUGUCACAGUGA
rnacentral:lncRNA from 1 species